UGCACGGAGCCCAGGAGUGCAAACAUGAAGCGUGCAUUGGUGUGUGUGCUGAUGGCUGCCUGGAGCCUCGGAUGUGGCAGCCAGACGGUGCACCAGCCAGCAGAGAAUGUGUACGCCAUGAAAGGCGACUUGGGGACGCUGGACUGCAGCUAUGAAAACUCUGGAGGCAACGACUACAUCUUCUGGUACAAACAGGAUGGGCAGGCGGCACCAAAGUUAAUCCUGAGCCUCUUAAUAUUCGGUCAGGACAAGAUUGAAAACAGCUUUGAAAAGAGGUUCAGCUGCAGCAUCAAUGACACCGCCAAGCGAGCUCCUCUGAAGAUCCAAGACGUGCAGCUGAGCGACUCUGCUGUCUUCUACUGCGCCAUCCAGCCCACAAUGACUGACAUCUUUGCUGCACCAGCACAAAAACCUCUGUAGGCUCCUCAUCCCACUGUGGCUGUUUGAGAGCUGGUUCUGAGGACGUUUUCACAGCUUUUGUCCUUGUCAGGACAUCACAGGCGUGGCAACCUGGAGAUCUUUUUUAUUUACAUACCUUAAUUGUUUCCAAACCGUGUUAGUAGCACGGCAGUAAAGGGCUGAUUAAACACAACAGAAGUCAUCAUAAUAGACUGUGGAAGCUAGUUCUCCAUCAGCUAAACAGACUCAAUCAGUCCACGAAGACGUUGUAGUGAAUUUAUUGAGGAAUUUGUGAAACUGAAACUGCCCUUGAAAAAGAAACUCUCUGGGUGCCAAUGAUCUGUACAUUAGAGUAAAUCACCUUCGCAGGUCUGUCUCUGCUAUACCUAUCAUCAGUCCGGGUACAUCUUUCUUAAACCUAUUACCUCCAUUUUUCUGUGGCAAUUUGUUGUGUUUUAAAUGACAUCACGUCCUGCUAACGUAC